UAUAAAGCAUAGAACUUUUAACCAAUUUAUCACCACCUCCUUUUCAAAUCUUUUGCUAUAUCGAAGAAAGAAAUUAUAGGUGUGAAAGGUAAGUUGAUUGGUUCAAUAGAGGUGAAGUGCGGAGGACACUAGAUUCAUGAGAUUUUGCACACCAAUCCUCGACAUAUACUCAACAAAAGCUCUAGUAAGGUGAGCCAUUUUGAGAUGGAUCACGAAGGUGAAAGCUUAAAGAUUGGUUCGAUAGUUAACUGGAAGUAUAACGAUGACGGAUCUGAAAAAGAUAAAACUGCCAAGGAAGUGAUUGAGGCAAUUGAUGUUGAGAAGAAAUCGAUUACUUGGAAAGUAAUUGGAGGAGACUUGCUAGAGUUGUAUAAUUCCCUUAUGCUCGUUUGGUAGAGUGUAUUAAAAUGUUAAUGUAUGCAUUAGUUUAAUGUGUAUUAGUAGUACCUUGUUUGGUAUACCUUUUUACCCUAUCUAUAAUUAAUGGAAGCAUUAGUUGUACACUCUAUUGUGUAUUGAGGUGUGUAUUACUAAUACCUCAAAAUCCAUGGUAUUAGUAAUGCAAUGAAUCUAAUGCAUGCAUUAACCUGUUUAAAGAUCCUAUUGCCCCUCAAAAAAAUUUCCGCAUCCUUUCGAACAUAUAUAUUGAGGGUAUUAUAUAAAAAUUUUUUUUUUUUUAGAAACUAUGUAAUUCAUGUUUUUUUAAUACAUCGAACCAAACACUGCAUAAGAAAAAUACAAGCAUAACGAAUGCAAGCAUAACUAACACAAACAUUAUUAAUAGAACUUAUUUUGCAUUAUUCUUAUACACUCUACCAAACGACCCUUAGUAUUAUCACAUCAUGUGAAGGCGAGUGGACUAAAUGUACUUUUGUGUAUGAAAAAAAGACUGAAGACACCCCAGAGCCUCUUGUUCCCUUUGGUUUGCUUCUUAAUUUACUUAAAGACAGAGGCUCAUCAUCUCAAGUAAUACAAGAUCUCUGGAUCUGUUGGCUCUCAGCAUUACCUAUAUAUCUAUGUGUGUCUAUGGGUGAGUUUAUACACAUAUAUAUAUACAUAUCUGUGUCCCUAUGUGUGAGUUUAUGUUAUAACUAUAUAGCAUCUUUGCAAUAUUGGCUAGUUCUAGCUAGUGUGUCAAAAUACGUAAUGUUGUGUUAAGAAUAAAAAUAAUGUUAUUGUUC